rnacentral:lncRNA from 1 species
CCCGGGCUACGGGACAGCCCCACAGGGCUGGACGCACGCUGUUGUCAGUCUUUUCUGUAACAAAUGAUGAUUCAAUAGGUCAGCUUGGAACUUGUCAUUAUAUAUGCGCGCAGGAGCAGCCACAGGGUGAAUUCCCAGCAGCCAGAUUGCUGGGUGAAGUAAGUGCAUUGACACUUCUGAUAGAUGAGAAAUCCCUGUCCACUGUCGCUUCCUUUGCCCAGUGGACCUCCUCCCAGCAAGGGCUGGGCGCCGCUUCCGCAGCCGAACAUGCUGGAAAACUCUGGGGGUUUUGCCAAUCUGAGGAAGAGAAAAUCAUAAAGCUGAACAAUCUCAGAGGAGGCAGCACUGAAUCUCAUCCAGCAUCUAGAUCUAACUACUACUUUACAAAAAGUGCAGAGGACGUUUACAUGACACCACCAGUGUGCAAUCAGCAAACUCAGAACAUGGAAAACGCCAUAAGACGAAAGACCUGGUUUCUUCAACAAAUACAAUUUAAGGGAAAAGAGAGGGCGACUAUAGAUGAAAAAGGACCCAGAGAUACAUCAGCAGGUACAAUGUAUGCACUUUGGACCUGGCUCGAACAGACUCCCAAAAAGAAAUGUGAACACUGACUGGGUAUCUGCUGAUGUUGAAGAAAUGCUGCUCAUUUUUUUUUAGAAACUUCCUCUUACUGGAAACUCAAUUCCUGACAGAUGGAGAGAAAGGGAAACAAUGAUUCUCCAGAGCAUUUGACUACUGAGAUCUUUCCCCCUGAGCCUUCCCGGGACUUACUGCUCCAUGGACACAUUUUCUGAAAUGCCCUUGGAGAUUAUGAUGCCUUCAGAGGACGUCUCAUGCCCAUCUUCUAAGGACAGACUGGAAACAAUAAGGUUGUAAGCUUCUGAGGACUAAGACCAGGACAUUCCAUCACAGGGCAAAACUCUCAGCUUGUCAAACAAGCCUCACCCUUCACAGAGAGAGCACAAGAUGGAAAGUCCUGUGUCUGUUCCGGCAUUGACGAGGGCUCCCCUGGUUUGGCUCUCUGGAGUCAGGUGGGAAGGGUGACGGAGACCACUGUCUUCUUGAAAGUGGGAGAGGGUUGUGACUCUCAGCUCUGGC